rnacentral:tRNA from 1 species
GUGUUGGUAGCUCAGUGAUUAUAGCUAAGCGCUUGUGACCGGAAGGUCCCGAGUUCGAUUCUCGCUGGAGACA